rnacentral:rRNA from 1 species
UACGUAGGGGGCAAGCGUUGUCCGGAAUCAUUGGGCGUAAAGAGCGCGUAGGCGGCCCAGUAAGUCCGCUCUGAAAGUCAGGGGCUCAACCCCUGGAUGCGGGUGGAUACUGCUGGGCUAGAGUCCGGAAGAGGCGAGUGGAAUUCCUGGUGUAGCGGUGAAAUGCGCAGAUAUCAGGAGGAACACCAAUUGCGAAGGCAGCUCGCUGGGACGUUACUGACGCUGAGAGCGCGAAAGCGUGGGGAGCAAACAGG